UAUAAAAAAAUAAAAUGUUAAAUCACUUAGAAAUUAAUAUAACAAAAUAAUUAUUUCAAGAUGACGCUUUGACUAGCUUCGUUGAAGUUCGGGCAUUGACAUUCAGAUUUCAAGAUGAGGCUGUUCGUUCACAGUUUUCAGAUUCUAACACGGAUGUGGCUGAAUUGAUCAAGGAGCGCCGAUUAAUUCUCGGAGAGAAAAGUUAAGGCAUUGAGAAGAUCACCCUCAUUACUAAAAGGGGACUGGUCCGUUCCACUGGUAAAUUCAACAGCUAGAAGACGCUGGUCUGGGGUGAGCUUCCAGUUCUUGUGAGCCAAAAAAGAAUUGGAAAAAGAACUACAGACUCUUCUUCAAUAGUUGCCAAGUCACGUUUGUCAGCAGGAAAUAGAGGCAUGUUACCAUGAAUAAGAAGGGAUCUAGCUUUGAUUAUGAGAAGUUUUGCAGACGUAGUAGGUUUGUACAUGUUUUCAGAUGGAGUGGGAAUGGCAAAUGUGUAUACAUCAUCCUGGGCUAGUGGAGUUGAAUCGAAGUUUGGUGUCGCUGGUGGAAGAUCUUAAAGAGUGUUGGGUUGAAGGGUAAGUGUGAGGAGAUCAUCUUGAAGAGGUGAAGGUAUAGCGAAGUUUGGUAUCAAGUUUGAGUAUCUUGAAGAGAAGAGGUGUGUGAGUUUGAAGCGGGGAUGCUGGAACAGGUGCAGGCAGUUCAUCAUCGGAAAUUACGGAGCAUGGAUAACUAAUAUUAUCCAUGUACAAGAGACAUAUUUCCCAUUGCAGACCUCCGUGUACAUUCUCCAUCAGCCUCUCAAAUGUAGAAAGAGCAUUAUCGAUACAAAAACACAUGCCAGAGAACUGGUACAAUCCCAUGAGCGUUGCACAUGCAGUCUUUCAACCAGUAGCCGAUGUUAAGAUCAAUGGACGAAAAUGAUUAAGCACCGCUUAGUGUGUCAAUGCUGUUAUAUAUCCAUUCUUGGGACGGGGUAUGCGUCUUUAACUGUUACAUCAUUGAGUCGCCUAUAAUCAAUACAACACCGCGGUGUGCCCACGCACCGUUAGAUGGCCAAAUUAUACCUCUGUCUUAUAUUUUAGAUAUAUCCUUCUUGUCAAUGGAAUUUUUACUAAUUUGUAAGCGACGAGGUGGUUGUCUGAUGGGAGCUGCAUUUCCGGUAUUGUAUGCUGCACUAAAUUAGUGCGACCAUUGUCGUAAGAAGAAGAGGAGAAAACAAGUUUAUAUUUACAAAGAAGAAAUAUGCCUAUUUAGACUCGUUUAGAUGCACAUCGUGACGUUUAAAAAGUACGUUCAAAUGUUUUGGAAGAGACUGACAGAGCUCUUCCGCUGUAACUCGUGCUAUACGUGGGCCAUCAUUUCAUUCUUAAUAUGACUCUCAUGUACCCAAUGUUGUUUUUGCAUAUAACGCUACCGAUUCUGAGCCAAGAUUGGCAACACUAACUAGAGUAUCUGCUUUUGAAACAUCAACGAUACAACCAACGAUGUAAAUUCCAUGUUUUCUAUUAACUCGAAUAAAGGCUCAAUAAAGUCUGUUGGUUCCAAAUGUUCUGAGAAAGGAAUGCUGAUCGGAACCCAAUCAUGAGAAUGCGCCGGGAUUUUGGUGGUAUUAUGCUCCUCAACUCUACACAUUAGUAACACAGUACCACUUAUCCACAAAGGAAUGGUUUUCAUCCCAACAGUUAGACAUUGCCGUCGAUAGCUGAUACUAUCGACAUGUUCGUGGAGAAAAACUUUGCCAAUAAUACACUCAGACUCAAUAUCACACACAAUAAAUUGAACAAAUGAAAUUAGACUAAACUUGAUUGUCAACUGCACUCGACCAAAAAAUCAAAUCAUUAGUAGCUACAAUCAGUUUUCCGAUUUGGAUUGGCAAGGGUUUGAACGAAGUGAAAUAUCAGGGACUAGGGGCAAUUAUCGUGGAUUUGGGGAAAGGAAGUUAUUAUUUGCUCUAUUAUCACGAACAGGUCGCGAGAAGGGACGCACACAAAUGCGUUGAUCGUUGGGUGCAGACGUAUUGUUAACGUUUUUAUGACAAUUUCCCCAUAAAUGCGACGGUGUGUUGCAUCCGAAACAUGCACGUUGUGACCUACUGGGCAUUGACCGUUGAUCAGGGGGACAGUGGGAACAUACUUUUUCAAUACGUUCAAUUUGCAAAUUUGUAUAGGCCUUUGAAUGGCGUAGGUAUAUGAAUUGAACAUAUGGAAUCUUGACACAAGUUCUGUAUUAUCCACUCCAUUUUGAAAUGUUUUAUUGGCGAUAAUCAAUACUUUUUACAGUGACAGACUAUGUGCACAUCGAUCUUAUACAAUAACUUUUCCAGUAUUGUUAAACUUUUGUUAAAAUUGAGUAUCCUGGUUAUGCUGAAUAACCAGAACUAAGAACACAUUCUUGUUGCAGUUACCAGUAACUGCCCCCCCCCCCCCCACACACACACACACACACUUAAACCGUGAAGAGAAAAUAAAUCUAUAAAUGAUAACCACCAACACACUCGUUAUUUUGUGGGGCUGUAAAUAUGGCCAGCGAUCCUUGUAUAUGUUGUCUAGAUCUCUAUAAACUGAGCUUGCUGACCCGGUUGUAAUAUUUUUACAAUUAACAUUCUGCAAUAUGAAAUAGUAAUAUGUAAACUUGGUUUAUUAUUUGGUGAAGCUUGCUGGCAUCCCCCUCUUACACUUGUCCAAUGAGUUGGUACCCUCGAGCAGAUUUAGUGCUCACUGCUACUGGAGCUAGCGUCCUUCUAAUGCUUAAGAGGAUUUACUGGAUGGCCUGGCUGGAAAUUACUCAGCACAGCGGCCGUUUCCUAGUAAAGGCACGCAUCAGAAAGGCCUUUGCGUAAGGGCUGGGGCCCCUUCUCGCACCCUGUGAAGGGCAAGGUCUAAUUCUCUGGGCGGCGAGGGUUCAAGUCCUCUCACCUGAUUGCAUUGCAGGUUGAAUUGGCAUGACAACUGGGCAAGAUACCAUACUGGACUGAAUGCAGGGCUUGGGAGCACAGUCGAAUACUGGUUUCAUAGCAACCAUACUUUACUACAGCACAGGCUCUUCAUAAGACAAAAUGGUUGGUUGUUGUCUAAGAAGUGAACAACAAAAAUGCAUAUUUUUAUAAUUUUAAGACAUUGAAAGCCCCUUGUUCAAAGAUUGUUACAAAUAUACUAUAUUUUUUAAGUCUAAAAAUUGCGACAAAAUAAAUAAAACAUAAGAACAAUU